UAAAUUCGCUUCCAUUUAUUGUUUCUAUUUUAUUUUAUUUUAUUCUCUCAAAAAUUUAAUUUUAUUCUUAAAAAUGAAAAGUCCGACUCUAACCGGAUUGCUGAAGCAGGUCGCGGCGGAGUUCCCGAACCGCCGCGCCCUUUCCGUUUCCGGAAAAUUCGAUUUGACCCACGCGCGGUUGCAGGAGCUCGUCGACCACGCCGCCUCCCUCUUAAUUGCCUCCGGCGUCGCCCCAAACGACACCGUCGCACUCACAUUCCCCAACACCGUCGAGUUUGUUGUGAUGUUUUUGGCGGUCAUUCGGUGCCGGGCAACAGCGGCGCCGCUUAACGCGGCGUACACGGCGGAAGAGUUCGAGUUCUACCUUUCCGACUCCGAGUCGAAGCUCCUGAUCACGCCGGAAGAACCGAUUCAUGCAGCCAAAGCGGCGGCUUCGAAGCUCAACAUUCCUCACUUGACCGCCAACCUGUCCGACGCCGCCAGCCACGUGACUCUCUCAUCCGCCGUCGAGGCGAGCCCCCACUCGGUAUCGCAACUAGUCAACGACCCGUCCGACGUGGCGCUCUUCCUCCACACGUCGGGCACUACGAGCCGGCCCAAGGGAGUCCCCUUGACGCAGCUCAAUCUGGCCUCCUCCGUCCAGAACAUCAAAUCUGUCUACAAACUCACUGAGUCGGACUCGACGGUGAUCGUCCUCCCUUUAUUUCACGUCCACGGAUUAAUCGCCGGGUUAUUGAGUUCCUUCUCCGCCGGCGCCGCCGUGGCUCUCCCAGCCGCGGGCCGAUUCUCCGCUUCAACCUUUUGGUCCGACAUGGUCGCAUACAACGCCACGUGGUACACCGCAGUCCCCACCAUCCACCAGAUCAUCCUCGACCGCCACAGCAGCAAACCCGAGCCGCAAUACCCGAAUCUCCGGUUUAUACGGAGCUGCAGCGCCUCCCUGGCUCCGUCUAUUUUGGCGCGGCUGGAAGAAUCGUUCGGCGCGCCGGUUUUAGAGGCCUAUGCGAUGACGGAGGCGACCCAUUUGAUGUGUUCGAAUCCGUUACCGGAAGACGGAGCCCACAAGCCCGGGUCCGUGGGUCGACCAGUGGGUCAGGAGCUUGCUAUUUUGGACGAGAAUGGUGCGGUUCAGCCGGAGGGCGUGAACGGCGAGGUUUGCAUUAGAGGGCCCAAUGUGACUAAAGGGUACAAGAACAACGCGGAAGCGAACAAAGCGGCUUUCUUGUUCGGGUGGUUUCAUACCGGGGACAUCGGAGUUUUGGAUUCCGAUGGGUAUUUGAGCCUGGUGGGUCGGAUUAAGGAGCUGAUUAACCGUGGAGGGGAGAAGAUAUCGCCAAUUGAAGUGGAUGCAGUGCUUUUGUCACAUCCAGAGGUUGCCCAAGGCGUUGCAUUUGGAGUUCCUGAUGAUAAAUAUGGCGAAGAGAUUAACUGCGCCGUAAUCCCAAGAGAAGGCUCGAGCUUAGACGAGGAACAAGUGAUGCGACAUUGCAAGAAGAAUCUGGCUUCCUUCAAAGUACCCAAGAAGGUGUUCAUCACCGACUCUCUUCCGAAAACUGCCACCGGGAAAAUCCAACGGCGGAUCGUGGGGGAGCACUUCCUUGCACAAAUAUCCACAGCCAAAGUUCCCAAGUUUGGCGCUUAAUUUUACUACAAUUCUAGCAGCCUAGCACAAGAACAUUUUUUUAGUUUAAUUUUGGCUAAAAUGUCAGAAUGGUCAUGUGUUAUGGUCAUGUGGUUCCCGUGUUUUCAAUUUUAUUCAACCUCUUGUAAAAUAUUCAUAUGAAAAAUUAUAAGAAAUAUAAUUACUCUUUCUCUUCA